rnacentral:rRNA from 1 species
AUUGCGAAGGCAGCUCACUGUCGUGUCACUGACGCUGAGGCUCGAAGGUGCGGGUAUCGAACAGGAUUAGAUACCCUGGUAGUCCGCACGGUAAACGAUGGAUGCCCGCUGUUUGCGUGUUUCGUAAGCGGCCAAGCGAAAGCGUUAAGCAUCCCACCUGGGGAGUACGCCGGCAACGGUGAAACUCAAAGGAAUUGACGGGGGCCCGCACAAGCGGAGGAACAUGUGGUUUAAUUUGAUGAUACGCGAGGAACCUUACCCGGGCUUGAACUGCAGAGGAAAGAUCCAGAGAUGGUGAUGCCCUUCGGGGCCUCUGUGGAGGUGCUGCAUGGUUGUCGUCAGCUCGUGCCGUGAGGUGUCGGCUUAAGUGCCAUAACGAGCGCAACCCCUCUCUUCAGUUUCCAUCAGGUAGAGCUGGGCACUCUGGAGACACUGCCACCGCAAGGUGUGAGGAAGGUGGGGAUGACGUCAAAUCAGCACGUCCUGAACGGCCGGGGCUACACACCUGGACAAUGGGUGGUACAAAGAGUUGGCAGUGCGCAAGCCUGCCGAAUCACGAAAGCCAUCGUCAGUCGGAUUCGCUCUGCAACCACGCCAGAAG